GUACUCACUUUGGCAGCGCAUGUACUAAUGUGGAGUGAUACAGAGAAGAUGAGCAUGGCCCAAGUAAGGAUGACAUGCACAUUUAUGAAGUAGUCUGUAUUUUU
ensembl:snRNA U6 U6 spliceosomal RNA